UGGGGGAUAUUGCACAAUGGGCGAAAGCCUGAUGCAGCGACGCCGCGUGGGGGAUGAAGGCCUUCGGGUUGUAAACUUCUUUUGCUCUGAACAAGGCAUGCCUUUGGGGUGUGUUGAGUGUAGGGGUUGAUUAGCGCCGGCUAACUACGUGCCAGCAGCCGCGGUAAUACGUAGGGCGCGAGCGUUGUCCGGAAUUAUUGGGCGUAAAGGGCUUGUAGGUGGCUGGUUGCGUCUGUCGUGAAAGCUCAUGGCUUAACUGUGGGUUUGCGGUGGGUGCCGGGUGGCAUGGGUGCAGUAGGGGGGGGUGGAAUUCCUGGUGUAGCGGUGGAAUGCGCAGAUAUGAGGAGGAAUACCGGUGGCGGAGGCGGGUCUCUGGGCUGUUACUGACGCUGAGGAGCGAAAGCGUGGGGAGCGAACAGG
rnacentral:rRNA from 1 species